rnacentral:rRNA from 1 species
CAGUCGCCACGGUAAUACGAAGGGGGCUAGCGUUGUUCGGAAUUACUGGGCGUAAAGGGCGCGUAGGCGGCUUGACAAGUCUUGUGUGAAAUCUAUGGGCUCAACCCAUAGUCUGCACGGGAAACUGUCGGGCUUGAGAAUGGGAGAGGUGUGUGGAAUUUCCGGUGUAGCGGUGAAAUGCGUAGAUAUCGGAAGGAACACCUGUGGCGAAAGCGGCUCACUGGACCAUUUCUGACGCUGAUGCACGAAAGCUAGGGGAGCAAACAGGAUUAGAGACCCCAGUAGUCCCUGUCUCUUAUAC